rnacentral:piRNA from 1 species
ACUGAGGUGAAAAAUGCAAUUGACUAC